rnacentral:lncRNA from 1 species
CCAGGGUAUGCCAGAUCCGCCACAAAUACAGGAGAUCCACUGUUCACACGGACAGAGUCUCCCCUGUAUUUGCACGGCGUCGCACAAGUACAAGAGUUCAAACAUGAUACAACCACAACCAGAUGAACAUACAAAUAACCACAGUUAUAUAUUCAUACACCAUUCACCACAGAUUCACAUUUUACCAUUCAAUAUUUAAACAUAAAUUCACAUCUAUCAGUUAAAAUAUUUCCAACCACAGAAACAGGUUUUGAAAUACUAAGAUACAAAAUCACUGAAAACCCUUUGAAAACUGUUCCCUACACGGGAACUUUUAUCUUUUUAAAACGCUACCACGAGGGGUAGAAAAUUAUUUUUAUUUUACAAAAUCCAGAAAUCCACAUUUUCAAAUGUAAAUAAACACUGAACCACAUAAACCCACUAAACUAUUCAUCAAUCAAACUAAGAAGGGUAAGAAAGUAAACCGAAUUAACCUGGGUCGAGAGCUCUAUCGACCGCUACACGCGUACCUCACGUCUCGUCCCACUACUCACCGCCCGCGAUACCUAAAAAAAAUGGUGGGGGAGGUGAGAACAUGUAAACAUGUCUCCCCUCCCAGUGGGUACCGCAAGCCGAAGAAGGCGAGGAGGUACUCACCGGAUCAGGAAGAGCUAAACAACAGUACGGGUCAGUAGAAAAUACAGUAGCAAUAAUAAUGAAUGAAAGAGACAUAUAUAUAAAAGAAAGUACAACUACCGCUACUGUAAUGAACAACUGAAUGUAUACAUGUAACAAGACUAUAGUAGCAAGACAAUGUAACGAAAGAACUGAAGAUAUACAAGUGACCACUGCUACUAUAGUUAUAUGCGUCAACCGGACAAGUAGUCCAAAAGUACCCAAUCUAAACCGCCGUGUCGGUCUAAGGACCUCAGGCAAAAGCCACUACCUGCUCNUUUCCAACCACAGAAACAUGUUUUGAAAUGCUAAGAUGCAAAAUCCACAGAAAACCUUUCGAAAACUGUUUCCUACACGAAAACCUUUAUUCUUUACAAACGCUACCACGAGGGGUAGAAAACCUUUUAUUUCACAAAAUUCAUUUAUUACAUUCACGAAAAUCCAUAUUUUCAAAUGUAAAAAAAAUACUGAACCAUAUAACUGUCUAAGCUAUAACAACUGAAAUACUAAGGGUAAUAACUAUACCGAAAUAACCUGGGUCGGAAGUUCUAUCGUCCGCUACACACGUACCUCACGUCUCGUCCCUCUACUCAUCGCCCGCGAUACCUGAAAAAUGGUGGGGGAGGUGAGAACAUGUAAACAUGUCUCCCCUCCC